CACAGAACCUGUUGGCCUUGACUGCAAGUUUUGAGUCAAAGAACCUUGGGACUCAAGGUUUGGAUGGGUGAGGGUGGGGGAAUGGUUCUGAAUGGAAAUCCAGAAUGAUGAGGCCUCUGACCCCAGGGAGCUCUUUCUUCAGUCCUGGGCCUCAUUUUGGGUAUGAAUGUCAUAUGUUUUCUGCUGAUAGAAUAUGACUCCUACCAUAUAUACCCCCAUAAGUCUGCCAUGGAAAUGAAAGUACAGUCUCAAAGCACUGAACUCAGAGAAGCACCGCCCUUGACUCAGAGAAGGAAGACACACGGAAGUGUGACUGUCAGUUACCAGAGAAAACUUUUUAACGUAGGCCUUGCCAAAAGAUGAAGGUCUCAGAUGGCUGUUUCACCCUUUAGUCUUUGGGGUUUUCUACAUAAGCUGAUUAGAAACACAGCUUCCAGACAAGACACACGCAUGUAACCCCGACAAGACACACGCUUGUAAUCCCAGAACUAGGGAGGUGUAAGCAAGAGGAUCAGGGCUUGGAGGCCAGCCUGGGCUAAAUGAGACACUAUCUGAAAUAAGAAUAAUAAAAUACUACUUCUUCCUGAAAAAAAAAUGCCAGACAGCCACCAACUGGAGUAUAUACAAGCCCUGCAAUGAGUUUCAUCAACAAAAGUGCAGAGAAUAGCCAGCUUGAGCUGUGCUUGAGCUGUGCUCUAGCUUGAGCUAGAGCUCACUACCCAGAGGCACCCGGGACAGGUUCCACAUGCUUGACACAGAGCCAGGAGUUCUGGAGCCAACUCAAAGUCUCUGUCCUCAGAAGAGCUCAAAAAAAAAAAUGCACUGGAAUAAAGUAGUCAAUGCCCACCCAAUACCCAAAGUACAAAAACUCCUUGCCUUGGACUCGCUGAGUCCAGAGUUCAGGCUGAGUCUUAAUGAUGCAGGAAGCAUUACAGACUGGGGACAGACAGCCACCUCCCUGCCAUUGGCAGAACAAUCGGAAGACAGAGACGAUGCAUAGGGGCCCAGAGGAUCCUGCUGGGCUCUAGGCUCAAUCAUUGCUCUGUGGAUUUGCAAUAUGGGCGUACAUUGUGCACAAACAAGCCUUGUAUGCUGCACAGCUUCAACCUUGCUUCUUGUGUGUCUCUUUGCAAUAUAAACUUAAAUAUAUACUUUAAUUUGCUCAGCCUACCAAGGACUGAUGGAGGAAUGGCUGAAGACAGCCGGAACACUUGAUGUGAAAAAAUUCUAUAGCUUGAAAGGAUGCCCAGAAAGGCUUCAGGGUGACCCAAAUAAGGACACAGGGCAAUACAUCUUAAAUCUUCUUUCCUCUGAUUCAGGAACAGAAUAUGGACCACCACUGCCAGCCAGCCAGCCAGCCAGCAGGAUCUUCAGCGCAGUACAUUCCCAGAAGUUUCUCCAGAGGGAAUAUCUGUGUGGUUCAGGGAUGUUUCAGGGCUGGCUCAGCCUUCCCCGUGUGUGCCAACCAAUAUAAUUAAAAAUGCAUCCAAAGUAAACCUCAGACAACUGAGCCCUCCGCUGCAACGUGGGGGGGGCGCUCACUGUCGGAGGGUGGUCACCCCGGUGGGCACAAACAUUGCCCCAGGUGCUCUGCAGCUGGCUGCAAAGACUCGUGAAAUUCUAUCCUUUCCAGUUCCCAGUGUGCUGGAGAGCAACCCUGAGAGGCCGGCUGGCAGCCCUGUCCCACCUGUGGAAACUAAUGAUACCAGCUCAGCAUAUUGGCAGAGGAAGGAAACUUGCACUACAACAGACCUACCGAAACAUUGGAAGUAUGUGCUUGACAGAAGCACAUUGAUUCAAGUCGCUCGAAGAUCAAAUUACUCUCCCAGCCCAGGUGAUUUUGUCCUAGAAGCCAGGAUAUUUGUAUCGACAAGAAUAUUGAUGAAAAACCACUCCCUGCAUCUCGGCGGACCAUAUUAAGGCUGUUAAUCUCGGAAGUGUCCCAUAAUUUUUAUCCGACAUGCAGACUCUUCAUUGGAAAGAGUUUUAACUCCAAUGCAAACAGUAAUAAGGAAAUAAAAUCACUGGUGUAUGUCUUUUCCAAUAUCGGUCUUGGUAAGAAUUCUUGACUUCUAUGCUCAAUUGAAGCUCAUCUUAAAUAAAAAGCUUUGUUUCUUCCAACAGA
rnacentral:lncRNA from 1 species